AUUGGACUGCGGCCGAUCAGGCUGUUGGUGAGGUAAUGGCCCACCAAACCUAUAACCGGUACGGGCUUUGAGAGAAGGAGCCCGGAGAUGGGCACUGAGACAAGGGCCCAGGCCCUAUGGGGCGCAGCAGGCGCGAAAACUCUGCAAUAGGCGAAAGCUUGACAGGGUUACUCUGAGUGAUGUCCGUUAAGGGCAUCUUUUGGCACCUCUAAAAAUGGUGCAGAAUAAGGGGUGGGCAAGUCUGGUGUCAGCCGCCGCGGUAAUACCAGCACCCCGAGUGGUCGGGACGAUUAUUGGGCCUAAAGCAUCCGUAGCUUGUCCUGCAAGUCCUCCGUUAAAUCCACCUGCUCAACAGAUGGGCUGCGGAGGAUACUACAGGGCUAGGAGGCGGGAGAGGCAAGCGGUACUCAGUGGGUAGGGGUAAAAUCCUCUGAUCCACUGAAGACCACCAGUGGCGAAGGCGGCUUGCCAGAACGCGCUCGACGGUGAGGGAUGAAAGCUGGGGGAGCAAACCGGAUUAGAUACCCGGGUAGUCCCAGCUGUAAACGAUGCAGACUCGGUGAUGGGUUGGCUUCGGGCCAACCCAGUGCCGCAGGGAAGCCGUUAAGUCUGCCGCCUGGGAAGUACGUACGCAAGUAUGAAACUUAAAGGAAUUGGCGGGGGAGCACCACAAGGGGUGAAGCCUGCGGUUCAAUUGGAGUCAACGCCAGAAAUCUUACCCGGAGAGACAGCAGAAUGAAGGUCAAGCUGAAGACUUUACCAGACAAGCUGAGAAGUGGUGCAUGGCCGUCGCCAGCUCGUGCCGUGAGAUGUCCUGUUAAGUCAGGUAACGAGCGAGAUCCUUGCCUCUAGUUGCCACCAUUACUCUCAGGAGUAGUGGGGCGAAUUAGCGGGACUGCCGUAGUUAAUACGGAGGAAGGAAAGGGCCACGGCAGGUCAGUAUGCCCUGAAACUUUGGGGCCACACGCGGGCUGCAAUGGUAGUGACAAUGGGUUCCGAAUCCGAAAGGUGGAGGUAAUCCUCAAACGCUACCACAGUUAUGACUGAGGGCUGCAACUCGCCCUCACGAAUAUGGAAUCCCUAGUAACUGCGCGUCA
rnacentral:rRNA from 1 species